GAUGAACGCUGGCGGCGUGCUUAACACAUGCAAGUCGAACGGAAAGGCCCACGCUUGCUUGGGUACUCGAGUGGCGAACGGGUGAGUAAAACGUGGGUGACCUGCCCUGCACUUCGGGAUAAGCCUGGGAAACUGGGUCUAUUACCGGAUAGGACGAUUGUUUGGAUGCGGUUGUGGAAAGGUUUUUGGGGGUGGGGUGAGCUCGCGGCCUUUCAGCUUUUUGGUGGGGGUAUGGCCUACCAAGGGGUCUGCGGGUUAGCGGCCCGGGAGGGGGUACGGGCACAUUGGGACAGAGAUACGGCGCAGACUCCUAUGGGGGGCGGAAGUGGGGGAUAUUGUACAAAGGGCGCAAGCCUGAUGCAGAGACGCCGCGUGGGGGGUGACGGCGUUCGGGUUGUAAACUCCUUUCGCUAGGGAGGAAGCGUUUUUGUGACGGUACCUGGAGAAGAAGCACCGGCUAACUACGUG
rnacentral:rRNA from 1 species